rnacentral:rRNA from 1 species
AUUGAACGCUGGCGGCAUGCCUUACACAUGCAAGUCGAACGGUAACAGGUCUUCGGAUGCUGACGAGUGGCGAACGGGUGAGUAAUACAUCGGAACGUGCCCGAUCGUGGGGGAUAACGAGGCGAAAGCUUUGCUAAUACCGCAUACGAUCUACGGAUGAAAUCGGGGGAUCUUCGGACCUCGCGCGGACGGAACGGCCGAUGGCAGAUUAGGUAGUUGGUGGGAUAAAAGCUUACCAAGCCGACGAUCUGUAGCUGGUCUGAGAGGAUGAUCAGCCACACUGGGACUGAGACACGGCCCAGACUCCUACGGGAGGCAGCAGUGGGGAAUGUUGGACAAUGGGCGAAAGCCUGAUCCAGCCAUGCCGCGUGCAGGAUGAAGGCCUUUGGGUUGUAAACUGCUUUUGUACGGAACGAAAAGCCUCUUUCUAAUAAAGAGGGGUCAUGACGGUACCGUAAGAAUAAGCACCGGCUAACUACGUG